GUGAGGAAUAUUGGUCAAUGGGGGCAACCCUGAACCAGCCAUGCCGCGUGAAGGAUGAAGGCGUUAUGCGUUGUAAACUUCUUUUGUAUGGGAAGAAUGACAGGGAUUCAUCCUUGGAGAGACGGUACCAUACGAAUAAGCACCGGCUAACUCCGUGCCAGCAGCCGCGGUAAUACGGAGGGUGCAAGCGUUAGCAGGAAUCACUGGGUUUAAAGGGUACGUAGGCGGUUAAUUAAGUCAGUAGUGAAAUACUGUCGCUCAACGACGGAUUUGCUAUUGAUACUGGUUAACUUGAAUCAGGUUAGAGUUGGCGGAAUGGGUCAUGUAGCGGUGAAAUGCUUAGAUAUGACUUGGAACACCGAUAGCGAAGGCAGCUGACUGAGCCUUGAUUGACGCUGAGGUACGAAAGUGUGGGUAGCGAACAGGAUUAGAUACCCGAGUAGUCC
rnacentral:rRNA from 1 species